GAGACUUCUUUCCACAGGGGGAAUCUGCGGCUACUGCAAGGUCAGUUCUGGGGUUUGGAUGGAAAACAGAGAGAAACUGAAACGCCGUCUCAUGUUCUUUGGUAAAUUCUGAAAGGAGAGGGUUCGCAGAGUCUGACAGCGCAGGUUGAUCUUGAUAAGAGAUAUAUGUGUGUACGUGAAGCUUGUGUUUCUUCUUGGAUAACAGAGCGUGGAGAAGGCCGCACAUCUGGCAGGCUGGCCGUCUGCUCGGCGGGGUGAUGGACUCCAGUUGUGGCACUAGGCAACCGUUGUCAAGGUAGGAGGGGCUAAACUGGAGAAUAGGCAGCUGGUAAUGCAUCGUCCAUCCGCUUUCGAAUGGAUGUGGGCCAAGUGAGCAUGUGCAGAAGCUGACGAAAGAUCCGAUCACAAACGG